rnacentral:rRNA from 1 species
AUGACCAACCCCUCCUCCCCGUCUUCUCCAUCCUCUUCUCCCACCUCCGCGCACCAUCGCCAGUACGAAGAACCGGCGGCGGCGGCGGCCAAGGUGGGCAACGGCGGCCAGGUAGACCACGGCAUUUCGUUUCCGGAGGCCAUAGACGACGUCGAGGGCGCCGAGCUGUCGCCCCCGCGCUGCGAAUGGGAGUUCCGGCUCGCGGCCACCGUGCCGUCCCCGUCGCUGGCCGGCGCGUCCGAAGCCAUCGGCAGCGUCGACUUCGACCCCGCCGGCCGCCUCCUCGCCACGGGCGGCAUCGCGCGCAAGGUCCGGAUAUACGGCGUCGCCGGCCUGCCGUCGUCGCCUAGCCCCGCCGCGUGCAUCUGCGUGCCGGCCAAGCUCAGCAGCGUGCGGUGGCGUCCCGAGGAAGGGGGCGGCCGUGCGGUGGGGUGCGGCGACUACGACGGCGUCGUGACGGAGUACGACGUGGAGCGCGGCGUCGCGGCGUGGGAGCGCGACGAGCACGCCGGGAGGCGGGUGUGGGCGCUCGACUACGCGCCACGCGGCGGUCACACGUCCAUGGCGGCGUCCGGCUCCGACGACAGGACGGCGCACGUCUGGGACCCGCGGUCCCCCUCGGGCUCAUGGGCCACGGCGCGGGCCGGCGGCGCGGUGCUGUGCGUGGAGUUCGACCCGUCCGGCGGGCCGCAGCUGGCGGUGGGCUCGGCGGACCGGCGCGCGGCCGUGUACGACGUGCGCGCGCUGGGCCACGGCGCGGUGGCUUCCAUGGACGGGCACGCGCGCGCCGUGACGUACGUGCGGUGGGCGCCGGCGCGGCGGGUGGUGACGUCGGCCGCCGACGGGACGCACCGGCUGUGGGAGUGGCCGUCGACGCCGGAGCUGUCGGGGCCGGCGCGGGAGGUGCGGUCGUACAGCGGCCACGUCAGCGGGCGGAGCUUCGUGGGGAUGGGGCUGUGGCGCGGCGCCGGGCUGGUGGCCAGCGGGUCCGAGUCCAACCACGUCUUCGUCUACGACCUCAGGUGGGGCAAGCCUGUCUGGGUGCACCCCUUCGACGUCGCCUCCGACGGCUCCUCCGACGCCGAAGGGUUCGUUAGCGCCGUGACGUGGCUGCAGGGCGACGCCGACGGCGACGGGGCGCUCGUCGCCGGCAGGUCGGACGGCGUGCUGAAGAUGUUCACGUGCCAACCACGCCGGGGAGAUGACCACCCAGUGGACGACCCAUAG